CCUGGUGGCUCAGAUGGUAAAGCAUCUGCCUACAAUGCAGGAGACCUGGGUUCAAACCCUGCGUCGGGA
rnacentral:tRNA from 1 species